AAUUUAUUUGCCAAUAUAAAAAAAAAUUAGGUAGUUUUUGGGUUACUAUGCGUGUUAUUAAGAAAAAUAAUAGUGGAAGUUAUUUGGAGGUUUAUUUUUAAGAGAGGUGAAAGUUAAUUGGAGGCCACAACAAAAAAUAAAUAAAUAAAUAAAUAAAAAAGAGGAAUGCAUGAGAAUUGAGAGUUAAGGUUUUGGAGUGCUGCAAUUAAAACGUGUUGUGUGUGUAUAUAUAUAUGGAAUGGAUAAUGUGAAAACAAAUAUUAUAAUGAAAACUGAAAACGACUGAUCCUAACCGUCGAAUGUAAUCUGACGGAUAAUAUCUCAUUUAACAUUUUCAACUUUCAAUCGUCAUUUUAUAACUCUCACAUUUUUAUUUUCUCUCUUCUACGGUCCUACCUAUCUGCAUUACUCUAUCGUUUGAUUCUCUCUCCUAUAAAAAUUGGUAAAAGAAACACAGUAGAGCUGGUUAUGGUUUAAGAAAAGGAUGAAAUGAGUUCUGGACUAAACAAUGAAGUAAUUGAGGAUGAUUUUUCCCUGACACUGAAAUUGUGAAUGGAGGUAAUAUGAUCCUGAUAAAUGAGUACCCUGUGCAUAAGCUAACUCCAAAUAUAUAAGCUCUUAGCACUCGUGGGUGAAUUUUGGAUUGCUAGACGAAGUGGAGUUGCUAAGGAGGCUCGUCAAGGUAAGAGGAGAUGCUGCAAAGGAGAGGGCGCGCUACUCUAGCUAGCCGCGGGCGCGGACAGGGGGUUACUGAGCUAUGAAGCAGAUUCUGGAGAUGGCUGGGAUAUGGCCAGCCGCGGGCGCGACAAUCAAGGCUGCGAGCACAACAAUCUGGGUCUGGCAAACUUCUUAAUCAUUAAAUAUCUUAAAGUAAGCAAUCCAAUUGCUAAUAGUUUCAAUAUGGAAGUUAGGGUUAGAG